rnacentral:rRNA from 1 species
GAUUUCUGGACUGAAGCAUUUAGCCGGCCGCGGUUUCGCGUGUUAGUGCUGGAUGCUCUGUCCAUCCUUCCAAUCGCUAUUGGCUAUUCUUCAUUGAAUGGUCAGUAGUAUUGGAUCUUUUACUUUGAAAAAAUUAGAGUGUUUCAAGCAGGCUUUAUGCUAUGAAUACAUUAGCAUGGAAUAAUAAUUUAGGACUUCGGUUCUAUUUUGUUGGUUUCUAGGACUGAAGUAAUGAUUGAUAGGGAUAGUUGGGGGUGCUAGUAUUCAGCGGCCAGAGGUGAAAUUCUUGGAUUCGCUGAAGACUAACUUAUGCGAAAGCAUU